rnacentral:lncRNA from 1 species
GGGAUCAUCUGUACUGAGUAGAUAUUUGGAAGCAGAAACCUGGAAGGAGACAUAAUUAUCCUUCAGACUGUAGACCAUCAGCUGUGAGAAAGCCAUUAUGGUCACAUGACUAGUCUAGUUUAAGUGCUGAGUCCCAGCAAGCAGCUGCUGCUUCUUCCAGUGAGUACUGAAAAGGCUGGUGUUAACUAAGUACAGUCCGGAUUUUAAGUAUCACAUUUUCUCAGGGAUCUCCACAAACUAGUGGGUGUCCUCGCUGUCCCUGUGAGACAGCCUCUGUACAGGAGAGGCCUUAAGUGAUUUGUAGCUGUCCUGGUGUUCCUCUGGGGACACUGAGAAACUGCAUGUACUCCAGAACAGGUUCUCAGUGUUCUCCAGAGUGUGACAGAGCCCAGCAUGGACUUUCUUACUGGUAGUAGUAAUGAAGUACGAUCCCCGUAGGGAUUUGUGACAUUUUGCUGGAAUAACCUCUGUGUAUUUCACUUAUUUUACCUGGCGAUCUCUGAGCAGGCUUCAGAUUUUGACAGUUCAUGAAAGAUAUGACGAGCAUUAAUGUGUGGGUGAAAAGCUUGGUGAAAUUCUGAGUGAAGUUUUAGUUAAAGUUGGUUGAACUUGGAAUUGACUGGGAGGCCAAAGAUUUAAAAAGCAGAAGAUUCUCUCAAGACACAAGUUGUGUGAUGAUGGUGUGUGUUUUAUGUGUGUGCAUGAGACUUUGUAAAUGUUGAAUUCUAGGCUCCGACAAUCAUUGUAGUGCAGAUCAGACUGCAAGUAUUUAUGUUUUAAAUUUAAAUUAUAAAGCUAGUUAAGUCUUUCUAACAACUAGUUUUAAUGUUUAUGAGCAGAUGUUUGCCUACAUUACCUUUUCAAGAUGUUGAGAAAGAUGCUUUGCAAGCACAGGUUGGAGGCUGGGAGCUGGUUGGUUCUUACUAAGGUUUUGUGAAGUCUUUGUUGCAGAGGAAAACAAUGCCUUCUGGGGCUUGACUAGUUUUAAUCUAGUCUUUAAGAUUAGAAGUAAAAAAACAAAAAUACAAAGGAAAUUAAAACCUCAUUAAAUUAGUCUUUAAAAACAUUGUUACCUGAAAUUGAGUGGGACUUUUGAGGGCUUUCUUCCAGAAAACAAGGACUUGGUCCUCAGGCCUAUAUUAGGCCUGACCCUUGGUGCCAUGUAAGUGUACUUAAAGUCUUUUCAGUGGAAAGUAUCUUAGCGAUCGGAACUUCUAGUACAGUUGGGAGUUCUUCCAUUUGAAACUGAUAUUUGCAUGGGAUUGUUUGAAUCUUGUUUUCUAGUCUCUCCCCCAUCACUACCCUCAUAGUCUCAAGGUAGAUUUUUUUCUCUUGAUAAAGGAACACAAAAAACGAACAUCUUGUAAAUUGAUAUUUAGUAACUAGUGGUAAACGUGAAAUGGUAGAAUUCUUUACAGCCUAAUCCUAGGUAGCCUUAGAGCAAUGUAUCUUAAUUAUUUUUGAACCUGUAUUCUCCUUGUCUUUUCAAGAUAUCUUAAGUUAUAUUUUCUUUUUCAGAGCUGCUUUUUAUUUUGGGGCUACUUUUUUUUAAAAAUUGAGGCGUAAUUCAUAAGACUACACUGCUUUGACGAGACUUUUUACAACUUAGUCAGGUUGUCUUUGUCCAGUCUUCCAAGAAGGGUCAUUUUACUGUUUUAGAUUUACUUUUAAAGUCAUGGGUUACUUCAAAUGUAGAAAUGCAAAGUAAAGCCCAAGCUCACCUCAUCGGUUUCGCUCUGAAUGUGGACAACGGAAGGAACGACCUACCUGUUAGCAUCCUGUUACUCGUAAACUGAAACGCUGAAGAAACUCCGUUUUCUUUGCAGAAAUCAAGGUCUAUCUAAGGUUUCCUGACUGCCUGAGCACAUGAGGUGAGCUGACGUCUUAGUUCAGAACAAUCUGACUGUAGAUUCAGUGUGUGUCCUGCUGGCUGAGGGCAAGCGAGGGCUUCUACAGCUGUGUGUAUGUCCCGCAGGCUCCCGUCAGUUACUGGACUCUCAGAACUGGUCUUGUGACAUCACAACAAUGCUUUGCGCCAAUUUUAUAAACCUUUACAGUGCAAUAUGUGUUACUUUCCUGAGGCAAACCAAAGGUAUAUUUCUCAAGGUUCUGCUGCCUUCAGCAGCAUUUGAUGGAAGAUUUUUUUUUAUACAUUUGUAACAGAUGAAGCAGAUUGCAGUUUGUUUUUUGUUAUUAUUUUUUUUUAAAUUGUAAACCAUGUACCAAGUUUCUGGUCAAGACUGUAUAGGAUAAGUUGAACGUGAUUGCAUUCUAUUAACCGAUAUGAGUGUGUUUCCUAUGCAUAUAGUUACAUUGAAAUAAAGUUCUAAACCAUCAGA